rnacentral:rRNA from 1 species
UAGCCGUAAACGAUACUCGCUAGGUGUCGGCCACGGUGCGACCGUUGUCGGUGCCGUAGGGAAGCCGUGAAGCGAGCCACCUGGGAAGUACGGCCGCAAGGCUGAAACUUAAAGGAAUUGGCGGGGGAGCACCACAACGGGUGGGAGCUUUGCGGUUUAAAUUGGAUUCAACGCCGGAAAUCUUACCGGGACCGACAGCAACAUGAAGGCCAGGCUGAAGACUUUGCCGGAUUAGCUGAGAGGUGGUGCAUGGCGUAGUCGUGU